GAGCCUUCAGCCCGACCCCCCGGGGCUGAAGGCCGAUGACCCCGGCCUCCUCCCCCCUGGCCGGGGUCAUCACCU
rfam:Gordonia hirsuta DSM 44140 = NBRC 16056 DNA, contig: GOHST32.